GACAGAGGGUGCUAGCGUUGUUCGGAAUGACUGGGCGUAAAGGGCGCGUAGGCGGGAAUAUUAGUCAAGCGUGAAAAGCCCCCAGGCUUAACCUGGGAACAGCGCAUGAAAACGGUAUACCUAGAGGACGAGAGAGGAAAAGCGGAAUUCCUAGUGUAGAGGUGAAAAUUCGUAGAUAUUAGGAGGAACACCGGAGGCGAAGGCGGCUUUCUGGCUCGUAACUGACGCUGAGGAGCGAAAAGCCAGGGGGAGCAAAACGGGG
rnacentral:rRNA from 1 species